GUAUGAUAUCGAGACAAUCUCACGUUAUGCUAUUUCUGUCAAGCCAGGAGGAAGGACAGUGGAGGGUUAUGCCUGAGCCCCUGUUGUCAGACUGAACAUCUAGAUUGGCAGAUCCACUGAAGGUGAAGAACCAAAUGCUAAUGUGGCAGGCUAUCUGGUCAACAAGAACCCAAGACACACAGAUCAUUAGCUGCCUUGUCCAGUUGUCCGAGAAUAUCCCUUCCGUCUACAACCAAUGGUCAAGACAUGCAGCACACAACUGAGAUUGCAGCCAGUAUAGUCCUAGAUGUGGGUGAAGGUGAAGGAUCAGGUUUCCAAGUUCUGUGUGAUACGUGACAAUAAUUCCUAAAUGAUGGCAUCCAUUAUUUCUCCAGAUGAAGAGAUAUUGGGCAUUAUUCUCAAAAGGCUGCGAGCUAACAACAGAUUCAUAGGAACUGAUCUUGUAGAGAAUCUGCCUUUUCAUAUUAUAAAGGUGAUGCAAGAGAUUCAUAGGAAUAGAUGAUGAGAAUCUGUCGCUUCAUAAUUUAAAGGUGAUGCAACACAAAUACAGCAAGUAACCAGUCCAGUCUAUCAAGAAUGGCUUCAUAGAUGUGCCUGUCACAUUUGUAAUUUAAGGAGCCUGCUUGAAACCAGAUAAAACUGUACAGAACUGAGGAAAAACCCUGAUGUUGGUUUAGUGUGGGAUGGGAACAACUCACUGGCAUCAGAACUUAUCCUUUGACCAAAACACUUCUAGGGAUAACAUAAAACGAUUUUCACCAUGAACCGAUUCACAGAGAGAACCUUUUUGUGCAACAACAGUAUAUGCUAGACUCUGAGGCACAAGCUGCUCAUCUAUUUACAAGUUGUUGUGCGAGAUCUGAACUAACAUCAUGCUCACAGCUAUCAAGCACUUCAAAGACAUACGACACCAUGAUGUGUUGAUGCAUCUAGGUGCAUUACGCACAUGCACAGAAUAUGGUGCAGGGGAGCUCAUUGCAUGCAUGCUGACCUGCAGAAAGGUCACUGUGCUCUGUAAUGUCUUCAAGACCACUGAUUACCUCAAUGGUGAGCUUCGGUAUCUUUGAAGAUCUGAAGCCUUGUGUGGCAGCGAGCUACGGAAUGUUGUCAAACACACAUUACAUGUGGACGUGAUCAUAGCAGGGAGGCCGCACAGAAUUUCAUGUUCAGUCAUGAAGACCUUCUUGAAUGAUAAUAUGAAGGCGUUGAAGUUUCCAUGUGUGGAUUCCCAACAACCAAUAUUCUUCUCCUUGCAGUGUCUAAUUGGGUCUGAAUGGAAUGUUCACAAACACAACGUUAAUAUUUUUCCUCGCUGAUACUUUGUCCAAAUUAAAGUUGUGAUAUGACUCAAUGUUUGUAGAUGCUUCACACGGUUGAAGUGGGUGAAUUGCGUUUAACAAGACUUUGAACAAUAUUUCAGUUAUAUACAACCCAAAAGAACUUAAAGAACACCAUUUUUUUCAUUUGACUACCGUUAAUUUCUUUUAAUUUUUAAG